rnacentral:lncRNA from 10 species
GCACAUAAGCCACGAGGAGGAGCUUUACGACUUCCCGGUCUUCGGCGCCGGGCGCAGCAAGGGCCAGACUCUGCGCUAGCAGGCGCUGCGCGCCAACCGGCCGGCACCUGUCGCAGAAGGUGCAACCGAUCGCACUGUCGCGCAGAAGCUCCUCAAUGGCCAGCGCCAGCUGCAGCCCCGGCCGCCCACUCGCCUCAUCUGAGCCUGGGCAAAUCUGGAUUGGGAAAGUUGACAUUAAUCAACUCAUUAUUCCUCACAGAUUUGUAUUCUCCAGAGUAUCCAGGUCCUUCUCAGAGAAUUAAAAAGCCUGUACAGGUCUAGAUAUUGGUAUUUUUAAUUGAUGAUAAGCUGGAAUAAUAUUAAUACACACAAAGCACGUGUUGUAACUUUCAUUAUGCUUCCUUAGAGCGCUGCUCUAAGCUGUUGAUGAAAAAUAUUGUUGGUGAGCUCUGCUUAGGUAAUAUAUAGGACAUGAGCAGAGAGGAGGCACGUGAACAGUUCUGGCCUGGAGUAGGCUUCAUUGAGGCUGUGAUGCUUUUAGCUGGAUUUGAAGAAGUGGUAGUGAUCAUCCCAGUGCACAGGAUAGGUGGACAGUCUAUGUAUUCUGAGCAGUAACUCAUAUAUCUCAUACUGCAAGACCCCAAAGGAGUAAUUUUGUGAACUCUGUUCACGGAAAGGGCCUGGGAGCUGCAACACCUCAACAGCAACAAGCACACCUGCU